UACGUAGGGUGCAAGCGUUAAUCGGAAUUACUGGGCGUAAAGCGUGCGCAGGCGGUUAUGUAAGACAGGUGUGAAAUCCCCGGGCUUAACCUGGGAACUGCGUCUGAUACUGGAUGGCUUGAAUCCGGGAGAGGGAUGCAGAAUUCCAGGUGUAGCGGUGAAAUGCGUAGAUAUCUGGAGGAAUACCGGUGGCGAAGGCGGCAUCCUGGACCGGCAUUGACGCUGAGGAGCGAAAGCCAGGGGAGCAAACGGG
rnacentral:rRNA from 1 species